CGCAGCCCUAAAAAACAAAACAAAACAAAACAAAAAAAACCCAAACUUAUAAGUAAGUUCCCUCAUGGAUCAGCAGAUUAAGGAUCCAGUGUUGUAACUCCUGUGGCUCUGGUCCUAUCCCUGGCCCAGGAACUUACACACACUGAGAGUAUGGCAAANAAAAAAAAAAAAAAAAAAAAAAAAAAAAAAAAAAAAAAAAAAAAAAAAAACUUAUGUAAAAAUUGAUGCUCAGCUAUGUACACUUAAAACCUCAAAGCAAUGCUGAGAAAAACUAACAAAGACCUAAAGAAAUGGAGAGAUAUACCAUGUUCAUGGAUCAGAAAAAAUCAAUACCAUGAAGACAUCGGUUCUCCCCAAAUUGCUACAUAGAUAUGAUGCAACCCCAAUCAACACCUCAGCACGACCUUUUUUGAGGACAAACUGACAAGCUUAUUCUAAAACUCAUAUGAAAUGAAAUGCAAGCCAGGCAGGGGCAAAUCUUUGAGAACCAUGGAAACCACGCUUCCUGGCUUGGAGUUUUUCUCGCAGGCACUGAGAAGGCAUUUCAACAUUAAGCAGAAGGACGACAUGACUGACCAGUGUUUUAGCUACAUCACACUGAAAUCCCAUGAGCAGCUUCCCGGCGGAUGCAGGAGCAGAGCAUGGACUGUGUGGCAGUGAGCGUGUGCAUUACCUACACCCUGAGAAGGAAUGAGGAGAUGGGCAGCCUCCUCUGGAGAGCAUCUUCAGGAGGAUGCAGGCUUCCAAGAAGAAAGAUGGAGAGAAGCUCUGUACACAGAAGGCAAGUUCAGCAAAUGUUCACAGCUUCCAAGGGCCUCCCUCAUAAAAUGUCCACACUAAGUGAAACAGUUUCUUCACCUUGAGAAUCCCAGCUGUUUAUCAUGGUGAAAGUCCAGUGAAUUGGGAGCCCAAGAGAAAACUGCUCUGCACACAGAAUUUAGCAUUGACAGCUCUCACAGUCACUUUCAUGCACUUUGUACUCACAAAAGUAACCCCCUCGGGGCUGCGUGAACUUUGAGAAGUUCUGUGUUUCCAGCAGGGCCCAGAUUAAGCAGUUUUUGAUUAUUCAAUUGCUGACUGAUUUGAUCUGAGCUAACUGUUCAGGCUUAGUUGCCUCACUCAGAAAAGCCCUUGGGACAAAAACCUGCGUCUACUCUGCACAGGCCACAAAACCUACAAACAGAAAUUACAACAGGCCUUGAGGUACGCUCAGCACACUCCUGCAGGCCCACGGCUCAUUCUAAAGUCUGAAUAUACAAACCUGAAAACGUCCCAAGAAUGCAGUGAACGCUCUGAAGUUUGCCGGUAUGUUGACAAAACCCACCCCUAAUAAAUACCUGCCUCCCUGAGAAAGGUUUGCCA
rnacentral:lncRNA from 1 species